CGGCAACAGCUCAAAUUUGAAAUCUGGCCCUAGGCCCGAGUUGUAAUUUGUAGAGGAUGCUUUUGGCACGGUGCCUUCUGAGUUCCCUGGAACGGGACGCCACAGAGGGUGAGAGCCCCGUAUAGUCGGACACCUAGCCUCUGUAUAGCACCUUCGAC
rnacentral:rRNA from 1 species